AGAAGUCCUAGAUUUUAUAGAAUUUUCUAAACAAAGAUUAACCACUAUUCCAGAUAGAGUAAAACUAGGUGAGUAUAAGUGAAGAUUUCAUAGAGAAUUAUUUUGUUGUGAAUAAAAGGUUGUUACUUUAAAUAGUUCUACAUAUACAUGUACCACAAUUGAAUAAAAAGUUAAAAUAUUUAUAACAGAACUUGCACAAAUCAUGAAUAUAGGCUAUAACAUGUAUAAGAAGAAGAAUUUCAAAAAUUACUAUUCUUGUUUUGACAUUUUCCUUACCUUUCUUAUAUUUUCAAGUCAUGUUUGGAUGUAUUAAACAGGUGCACAAGCAGCCUCAAUGUUGUCAGGUUCAUCAACAAGUUUACAGAGAUUUGAGGCCAGUAGAAAGAGAUCAGGCUCCAUGCAGAGUGUAGAUUCAGCAACUGUUUCAUUCCAUGGGUCAGAUUCAGAUAUAGCCAGUCGUCAUUUCUUUGAUCAGGUA
rnacentral:lncRNA from 1 species